rnacentral:lncRNA from 1 species
UGGAACCUUGAGAAUGUGUCUAUAGUAUGAUGCAAAUAUUUCAAAUUUCCAAAUUCUGCAAAGUGAAAGAUGUCCAUCUGCCAGAUCUCAUUCCUCUGAAUGCCUUUAGGAUUACAGCCUGCUGGUAGUGGAGUUUGUUUAUAAAAUGAACAAAUAGGACAGCGUCUCAUUAUCUCCUUGGAUUGUUGCCAAGUAAUGGAGAAGUCCUUUUUUAAACCUUUGCUAUUUACAUGAUGUUUCUUAUGAAAUUCUGAGGCUUUUAAAACAAUUCCAAUUAAUAUAUGAUCAGUCUCAUCAUUGCCUUGUGCUAGUGGGCCUGGCAGACCCAUAUGGGAUCUGAUAUGUCUAAUGAAUAUAGGAUUACUUCUGUUUCUGAUUGUUUCCUGUAAUUGUAUAAACAAUGAGGUUAAUUCUGUAUCAUCAGGAAUGAAUUCUGAAGUCUAAAUGUGUAACAUGACUCUCUCUGCAUAUUGGAAAUCAGUAACUAUAUUAAGAGGUUCUGUAAAAUCCAUGAGCACCAUGAGAAUUGCAUAUAAUUCUGCCUUCUGUACAGAUGUAUAUGGACUUUGAACUACUUUACUUACCUCACCUGCUUCAUAACCUGCCUUACCUGAUUUUUUGGCACCAGUGUAGAAGGAUCAUGCAACAGAUGGACAUUAAAACUCAAAGAUCAAAGCAUGACAUCACUGGAGCUCAUGGUCCAGCAGUGCAAGGCCAGGUGGAUGCCAGAAGGAUGAAGUUAAUGAGAUAUUUUGCUGCUACCAACAGGCAUGAAGAUGAGAGUAAAACCAGCUCCAUGUGGAGAAGACUUCUAUCAGCUGGCUGCAAUUUUCCUGGAUUAUCCCAAAUGGCUUGCCUAAAUCCACCUCAUAUAACAUUACCAACAAAUCCAUGCCUGUCCUUUCAGUGAAUCAAUGUGGUAAAUUUUCACUGAGUAAUGAAUCACAUGGCUAAUGUAUUUGGGUGAGAUUGUAGAUGAAGCCCAUUCUAGGUUAUGAAGGACUAGAUUUUGUGUUGUGUAACUCCUUAGGCUUCCUUUAAAAUACAAACUACCAAGCUUAUUAUUAAUACAGUUACAAAAUUAUUGACCACCAUUUUAGGAACAAUGUCUCUGAACAUUCAUACCAGUUUUUCAUAUGGAUGCUGAUAUACCUAUUUUGAAAAUAAAAGAGCAAAUACAUUGAAAAGUUAAGUUACCAAGCUGACUCUGCUAAGAAACUGUGAUCCAGAAACCAAGCUAUAGUCCAGACUACCAUUGCUAUCAGACUAGACCACCACUUCCAUCUGACUAGACUACAACAGCCAUCUUACUAGACUACCACAAUCAUCUGACUAGAUUAUCACAGCCAUUUGCCUGGAAUAUCCACAAAUAUGCUUGGGUAGUAGUUCAAUUAACUCUGCAUUUGAUCUGACUUACUUAAAGACAUCAAAUUUUGCUUCCUGAUGAUCAGUGCAUACAAAUUUAAUGAAAGUUGUGUUUUCUGAGUAAGAACACAGCUUCUUUCCCAUUUCUUUAGCCACCCAUGCUCUUCUUCUCCACCCUCCCUCUCGGAUUUCGUCAGUUAUAUCCUGUUAGAGUCAGUGUUGGCUGCCCUAUGAUCAGAAGGACACACAGACACCACAUUAUUUAAAAAUGGAAGAGGUUCCACAAUUCAUUCUUUAUCAGAAUAGAGCACAGUGACUUUGUGCAAGCAAACCACGCAAUACUUAUAAAAAGAAUAAAAAUUAAAAUUUCCUAAUCAUUUUCAUUCAAUUGCUGCGUUGUCCCUAUGACUACCUCAUUGCUUUUAAUGGGUUCUACACUAUGUUGACUGAUGGCAUUGAAAAUAUUUUCAAUUGGGAAGCUACCACCUAAUUACACAUUAUUAUUUCAUGACAAAGUACCCUCACAAAGGCAGAUACAAUUUAACCCUCAGAAAUGGAAAGAAGUUUAAUACAAACCCUGUGGUAACCCUCCUGAUGAAGGAUGUGCUGCACACAUAGAAACAAGAAAGGAAACAUUUUCACUUUAGAGUUUUCAUUUCUUCACACAGACCCAUGGCAGAUGGCCAUUGACCAAAGUUUUGACCUAUUCUUGGUUCUUAGAGGUAAUCACACUUUAGACCUGCAAGUGCUAUCAAGCUUCUAUGAGCAUGGAAUUCCCAGAUGCAGCCUUAGGACCAGAGUCUAGGAGUCUUCAUCCCCAACCAGCUCCCGGGUAAUAAAGAUAUUUCUGCUUUGAUGGCCACACCUGGAGAACAACUGGUUUAGACCACUGGGAAAAUAUCUUCU